GGGGCGGUAGCUCAAUUGGUCGAGCAUCAGGUUUGCAAUCUGGUUGUUGAGGGUUCGAGUCCCUUCCGCUCCA
rnacentral:tRNA from 1 species